rnacentral:rRNA from 1 species
GACGAACGCUGGCGGCGUGCUUAACACAUGCAAGUCGAACGGAAAGGCCCUGCUUUUGUGGGGUGCUCGAGUGGCGAACGGGUGAGUAACACGUGAGUAACCUGCCCUUGACUUUGGGAUAACUUCAGGAAACUGGGGCUAAUACCGGAUAGGAGCUCCUGCUGCAUGGUGGGGGUUGGAAAGUUUCGGCGGUUGGGGAUGGACUCGCGGCUUAUCAGCUUGUUGGUGGGGUAGUGGCUUACCAAGGCUUUGACGGGUAGCCGGCCUGAGAGGGUGACCGGCCACAUUGGGACUGAGAUACGGCACAGACUCAUACGGGAGGCAGCAGUGGGGAAUAUUGCACAAUGGGCGGAAGCCUGAUGCAGCAACGCCGCGUGCGGGAUGACGGCAUUCGGGUUGUAAACCGCUUUCGCCUGUGACGAAGCGUGAGUGACGGUAAUGGGUAAAGAAGCACCGGCUAACUACGUG